rnacentral:rRNA from 1 species
AGUGAACGCUGGCGGUAGGCCUAACACAUGCAAGUCGAACGGCAGCACAGGAGAGCUUGCUCUCUGGGUGGCGAGUGGCGGACGGGUGAGGAAUACAUCGGAAUCUACUCUGUCGUGGGGGAUAACGUAGGGGAACUUACGCUAAUACCGCAUACGACCUACGGGUGAAAGCAGGGGACCUUCGGGCCUUGCGCGAUUGAAUGAGCGGAUGUCGGAUUAGCUAGUUGGCGGGGUAAAGGCCCACCAAGGCGACGAUCCGUAGCUGGUCUGAGAGGAUGAUCAGCCACACUGGAACUGAGACACGGUCCAGACUCCAACGGGAGGCAGCAGUGGGGAAUAUUGGACAAUGGGCGCAAGCCUGAUCCAGCCAUACCGCGUGGGUGAAGAAGGCCUUCGGGUUGUAAAGCCCUUUUGUUGGGAAAGAAAUCCAGCUGGCUAAUACCCGGUUGGGAUGACGGUACCCAAAGAAUAAGCACCGGCUAACUUCGUGCCAGCCGCCGCGGUAA